AUAGCGAAACAGCCUUUAGUAACACGCGUCAAAUGCCAUUCUUUAAGGUUGGACAAGUCAAGGAAUCUGAAGAAACCAUGUUGGGCCCUGGGAGAUUGUUGGGGCAGAAUGAUUGUUGGAGGCAACGAGGUGUAUCUGCUUACCCCUCCCUGGGACACGGUGUCGCUGCUGGGGGAUCAAUGUCCAUUGAGUACGGAGGAAGAGGGGCAGGC